GACGAACCGAGCGAACGUUGUUCGGAAUCACUGGGCUUAAAGGGCGCGUAGGCGGGUGCUCAAGUCCGGGGUGAAAUCCCACAGCUCAACUGUGGAACUGCCUCGGAUACUGGGCGUCUCGAGGGUGGCAGGGGUAUGCGGAACUAUCGGUGGAGCGGUGAAAUGCGUUGAUAUCGAUAGGAACUCCGGUGGCGAAGGCGGCAUACUGGUCCACUUCUGACGCUGAGGCGCGAAAGCGUGGGGAGCAAACAGG
rnacentral:rRNA from 1 species